CCCUAACAAGACACCCUGGUUCAUCAACCAUACCAUGAUUGAUCCUUAUUUCCAAAUUGAUCACAUUGAAAAGAAAUAACAAUAAGGGCCCAAAUUGGAGUUCGAAUGUUGAAGAAAAAAGAAAGAAAGAUGCAUAAAAAACAUUUUCCUAAAAU